rnacentral:rRNA from 1 species
UACGUAGGUGACAAGCGUUGUCCGGAUUUACUGGGCGUAAAGAGCGCGCAGGCGGUCGUUCAAGUCGAGUGUGAAAGCCCCCGGCUCAACUGGGGAGGGUCACUCGAUACUGAUCGACUCGAAGGCAGGAGAGGGAAGUGGAAUUCCCGGUGUAGUGGUGAAAUGCGUAGAUAUCGAGAGGAACACCUGCGGCGAAGGCGGGUUGCUGGGCUGACACUGACGCUGAUGCGCGAAAGCCAGGGGAGCAAACGGG